AGAGUUUGAUCCUGGCUCAGGACGAACGCUGGCGGCGUGCCUAAUACAUGCAAGUCGAACGCUUCUUUCCUCCCGAGUGCUUGCACUCAAUUGGAAAGAGGAGUGGCGGACGGGUGAGUAACACGUGGGUAACCUACCCAUCAGAGGGGGAUAACACUUGGAAACAGGUGCUAAUACCGUAUAACAAUCGAAACCGCAUGGUUUUGAUUUGAAAGGCGCUUUCGGGUGUCGCUGAUGGAUGGACCCGCGGUGCAUUAGCUAGUUGGUGAGGUAACGGCUCACCAAGGCCACGAUGCAUAGCCGACCUGAGAGGGUGAUCGGCCACACUGGAACUGAGACACGGUCCAGACUCCUACGGGAGGCAGCAGUAGGGAAUCUUCCGCAAUGGGCGAAAGCCUGACGGAGCAACGCCGCGUGAGUGAUGAAGGUCUUCGGAUCGUAAAACUCUGUUAUUAGGGAAGAACAUAUGUGUAAGUAACUGUGCACAUCUUGACGGUACCUAAUCAGAAAGCCACGGCUAACUACGUGCCAGCAGCCGCGGUAAUACGUAGGUGGCAAGCGUUGUCCGGAUUUAUUGGGCGUAAAGCGAGCGCAGGCGGUUUCUUAAGUCUGAUGUGAAAGCCCCCGGCUCAACCGGGGAGGGUCAUUGGAAACUGGGAGACUUGAGUGCAGAAGAGGAGAGUGGAAUUCCAUGUGUAGCGGUGAAAUGCGUAGAUAUAUGGAGGAACACCAGUGGCGAAGGCGGCUCUCUGGUCUGUAACUGACGCUGAGGCUCGAAAGCGUGGGGAGCAAACAGGAUUAGAUACCCUGGUAGUCCACGCCGUAAACGAUGAGUGCUAAGUGUUAGGGGGUUUCCGCCCCUUAGUGCUGCAGCUAACGCAUUAAGCACUCCGCCUGGGGAGUACGACCGCAAGGUUGAAACUCAAAGGAAUUGACGGGGGCCCGCACAAGCGGUGGAGCAUGUGGUUUAAUUCGAAGCAACGCGAAGAACCUUACCAAAUCUUGACAUCCUUUGACAACUCUAGAGAUAGAGCUUUCCCCUUCGGGGGACAAAGUGACAGGUGGUGCAUGGUUGUCGUCAGCUCGUGUCGUGAGAUGUUGGGUUAAGUCCCGCAACGAGCGCAACCCUUAUUGUUAGUUGCCAUCAUUUAGUUGGGCACUCUAGCGAGACUGCCGGUGACAAACCGGAGGAAGGUGGGGAUGACGUCAAAUCAUCAUGCCCCUUAUGACCUGGGCUACACACGUGCUACAAUGGGAAGUACAACGAGUCGCUAGACCGCGAGGUCAUGCAAAUCUCUUAAAGCUUCUCUCAGUUCGGAUUGCAGGCUGCAACUCGCCUGCAUGAAGCCGGAAUCGCUAGUAAUCGCGGAUCAGCACGCCGCGGUGAAUACGUUCCCGGGCCUUGUACACACCGCCCGUCACACCACGAGAGUUUGUAACACCCGAAGUCGGUGAGGUAACCUUUUUGGAGCCAGCCGCCUAAGGUGGGAUAGAUGAUUGGGGUGAAGUCGUAACAAGGUAGCCGUAUCGGAAGGUGCGGCUG
rnacentral:rRNA from 1 species